AGUGAACGCUGGCGGUAGGCCUAGCACAUGCAAGUCGAACGGCAGCACAGUAAGAGCUUGCUCUUACGGGUGGCGAGUGGCGGACGGGUGAGGAAUACAUCGGAAUCUACUUUUUCGUGGGGGAGAACGUAGGGAAACUUACGCUAAUACCGCAUACGACCUACGGGUGAAAGCAGGGGAUCUUCGGACCUUGCGCGAUUGAAUGAGCCGAUGUCGGAUUAGCUAGUUGGCGGGGUAAAGGCCCACCAAGGCGACGAUCCGUAGCUGGUCUGAGAGGAUGAUCAGCCACACUGGAACUGAGACACGGUCCAGACUCCUACGGGAGGCAGCAGUGGGGAAUAUUGGACAAUGGGCGCAAGCCUGAUCCAGCCAUACCGCGUGGGUGAAGAAGGCCUUCGGGUUGUAAAGCCCUUUUGUUGGGAAAGAAAAGCAGCAGGUUAAUACCCCGCUGUUCUGACGGUACCCAAAGAAUAAGCACCGGCUAACUUCGUG
rnacentral:rRNA from 1 species